UACGGGGGGGGCAAGCGUUGUUCGGAAUUACUGGGCGUAAAGGGCUCGUAGGCGGCCAACUAAGUCAGACGUGAAAUCCCUCGGCUUAACCGGGGAACUGCGUCUGAUACUGGAUGGCUGGAGUUUGGGAGAGGGAUGCGGAAUUCCAGGUGUAGCGGUGAAAUGCGUAGAUAUCUGGAGGAACACCGGUGGCGAAGGCGGCAUCCUGGACCGGUAUUGACGCUGAGGCGCGAAAGCCAGGGGAGCAAACGGG
rnacentral:rRNA from 1 species